UUAGAGGAAAUCACAAAACUCAUACUUCUUCUUCCUCCUUGGCCGUGUAUCUUCAUUCUUCUUUCUCUUCCAUCACCAAAAUUUCAUACCUUUACCAAAUUGAUCCAUCUUAAGCUUGUUGGAAACAUGAGAGUUCAUGGAUCAUCAUCCCUAAGCUAGGGCAAGCAAGAGAGCAAAGCAAGAGGGUGCUAGGGCUUGAGAAAGAGAGGAGCUCAUGAGAGCUAGAACAAGAGGAGCUUGAGGAUUCAUCAAAUUUCUAAGAUAUCCAGGUUGACAGGUUAUAUGUUAGCUUGUCCGAGUAGCGUGGUGAAGCUCCGCUCUGAUUGUGACACGGGGAGAAAAGGGGUUUUGUAUAUAUAUAUAUAUAUAUAAAUUCCUUUAGAAAAUUACUCUGUAAUUGCUUAUGUUUUCAUAUAAGAAUUAUUCUUUGUGAAAAGUAUUGGUUUUGUAUAACUUAUAACGCAUCGUGUUGAUGCGGAGGAUUUUGUAUUUUGUGAUAUUCAAACCAGCGCUUUAUAAUCAGAUUUUCAA